AUAACUAGUGUAGCGAAACAUUCAAACACCCAACGGGUGAUGAAGCAGUGAACACACACACACACGCUUAGCAGCCUGAGGGACACACACACACACACACACCUCUGGGUUCCAAACACACACCUCUGGGUUACACACACACACCUCUGGGUUACACACACACUAAAUGUUCAUUCCAAUGCAUUCAGUCCUAGUCUUUAUCUUGGCAAGAUUACUAUUCAAUUGCUUAUCGUGCUGUUUGGGCUGAAUUGGCUGUUUGAUGAUGUUCCUGUGGUGAUGGUAUGAUGGUAUAACUUUUGAAAGAAAGAAACUCCGGUUCAAACUUCCAACCUCACAGUCAAGCCGCUAGCUCUCUCACCACUAGACCACUAGAGAGACUUUUAUGUUUUCUGCUUCCAACAAAUAUUUGGGCAUUUUUUGUUCUUCUUAAUAUUCCACUGUCUGAUUUGGGAGACAUGCUGCUGUUUACCAGCAUCUAGUUCAAUAGUCUCUCUUUUUUGUAACAAACAGAUGACUGUGAAAUGUGAUUUCAAGGUUGAGAAUAUUCCUACGGCUCAUUAUAAAGAAAAGAUUGAUGACAAAGAUUGAACAGAAAAAAAAAAAAAACAGACUAACAAAAAAUAACACAAGAUCAUGGACUAGAUUUAUAGCUGUAAACAGCUCUCACACACAUGUUGGCAUUGUCAAUGAUUUACAGUACCAAUAAAUUAUUAUAAAUUACAGUACCAAUCGCUUCAGUAAACUUAGGGAAUGUUCAGACAGUUUAUGAACGUAGACGGUCUCUCCUGUUUUUUCCUAUUCUUACUUUAUUCCUCACUGUUUAAAGAAUAAUACAUGUCACCAUGUUAAUGUUUAAAGUAUAAUAGAUGUUAUCACACUGUGGCUUAUCCUUCUACCAGAAAGACUCCGGAGGCAGGAGUGAACUGGACAAUUCACAAUAUAGUAUGAAACAGUACUUCAAGUAUCAGAUGGGUUUCAGAUGCAGUGCGUGCUUCUUUCUCCCGGUGUACCUCCGUAGCAGCGGGGCUGUCGUCGUUGCCAGGUGGUGGACAUGGAUAUGCGCGUGUGGAGCAGUGAGCUCUGUGUUGUGACGUGGUGAAGGGGAGGCGCCGUGAUGCGAGAGGACGAGGGAUGCUUUCGCACACACUCACCCUUGUCCGUUCUGCGCGCGGCGCUAUUGCCCUGGGCAUGAUAUCUGAUGCCAUUCCACCGGAAAUCCCGCACGAGCUCUUUACAGUUUCACUCCACCGGUCAUUCAUACUCAUGCGCUGGCGUCAGGUUAACGGGUGCCUGCUCGUGCAUGUCCUACGAUACAUCAUUACCGUAGAAUGCCAUCCUGGUUUUAUUAUGAGUCUCUCAGCGCGAGCAGUGGGUGUACGGUACAGCGCAUGCCUGUAUUUGUUCACGUGCGGUCUUUUCUGUGAAGGGAACGCGGGGAUGUCCGACAGGAACGGUAAGUCCGUCUCGCUUUAUGAAGUGGCCUUAAGAUUUAGAUCUCUCCCGAGAGCUACGGGGAGAUUUCGCUCCUGCGUUUCACCUCUGAGCCGCUGCGCGUGCAGAGAGCGUCAGGUGGUAUCGGGGUGAUGCACGCGGAGACACAAACAUCGGACGUGUGAUCGACAAAAGAGCGAUGAAUUAAAAAAAACAACUCCAAUCACAAAAUGAAGGGAAAAUGUCAGUCUUUUGAUGAAGAUUGACUCCGGGCCACCGGGUUGGGACAGAGCGGAGCGCGCGCCGCACUAUGAGGUGAUGUUUCCGCGAUGGCUGCAGCACGUGAAAACUCACCGCUUUUCAACUGGAGAAAAGCAUCCGUCUGAGGUUGAAGUCUGGAUCACGGCAGAGGGUCGGGAUCUUCUCCUUCAUCUACAGAAGAACAAAGAUCUCUUCUCCCCUGCUUUUCGGGAGAUAUGGUACAGUCCAGAAGGAGCUCGCCAGACAUCCGGACCAAACCAUCAGGAUCAGUGUUUCUAUCAUGGCUCUGUGCUCGGUUGGGGGGACUCCAGUGUGGCCGUCAGCACCUGCUCUGGCCUCAGG